GACGAGGUAAAUAGGUUCGAGGUGGAAGCGUAGUGAUACGUGGAGCUGACGAAUACUAAUCGAUCGAAGACUUAAUCAAAUU
rnacentral:rRNA from 1 species